rnacentral:lncRNA from 1 species
UAUUCAGAGUGCUUCUACAAAUAAUAGCUUCAAUUUGAAGAUCAGAGGAGAGACUUUGAAUGAAAGACAAACUCAGGAAAAUAUUUCAAUAUUACUUAUUUCUGUCAAACCAGCUGCCCCAAGAUGGCAGCCAGGAGAUGAUUACACACUGGCAAUGAUGAGAAGAAAUUGUGGAAAGGAGAGGACAAAGCAUUGAGGAAGUUCCAUGAGAUCAAGGACUAACAGUGGAGAGGAUGGAGAGGAGCGAGGCGAGGAAGCUAACCCGGAGCAAGGAUGGCUUGAGAACAAGGGAACUGAGGCAGUCAAACAGCAGAAGUAAUUCAGGAUGUGGGCUGAAGAGCAGAGAUACUACAGGAGAGACUGCAAACCAAGAGAAGCACACAGAGGAUUCAGAGUUGAAAACUGAACCCAGGCAGAGCUCCCAGAUACUGGAGGCUUGCAGGAAGCAGAUCUGGCUAGGAGAGGAGGCUCUGCUUACACUACUAUUAUUUAAAAGUGCUGGAUGGCAGGGGACAUCAGGAAUGCCCUAG